AGAGUAGGGCGCGCGCGUCGGGGUCUCCCCGGUAGUGCCAUUGGAUGGGAGGUUGCCAAUGGACGAAAAGCCGUUCCGGCUUGCGAUGCGUGCCCGCAGCCGCU
rnacentral:ncRNA from 1 species